UUUUGUUUUUGGCAGGCAAACGGUGAAAAUCUUCUCCGAAACCUCUUGUUCUGAGUGAAGCUAAAAAGCAGUUGCUGAUCUACAGACUACCUCAGGUCCUUCGGCUGCACCUUAAACGCUUCAGCUGGAUUGUGGAGCAUCCUAGAAUCUGCUAAAUUCAUCCGUUGAAGUCAUAAAAAUCCGCAUUCAUUGCAUAUACAAAACCAUGUCUGCAGAAUUGGAAUUAUCCCCACUUUACACAGAGCUGCAGGUUUUUUAUAGCACGUUCCAACAGCACCUUUGGAAAAGAGCCUUUUGGAAGGUUUUUAUGGG